rnacentral:misc_RNA from 1 species
AGAGGGUUAUGUUUUACUGCUGAGCUGAGGGUUAUGUUGCGCCUCUGAGCGGGAGUGUUACGUUCUGCUGCUGAGUGGGUGGUAACUAUGGGACUGCUAUGAUAUUGGUAUUUCUGGUUAGCUUUUCUUUUGAAUAUAGAAACUUGCGUACUAGUGCGUGUUGUACGCCUGGAACCCUUUAACUCCCGGUAGCCGGGUUUUGGUGUGGUGGUUAUGGUUAUUGCAACUUUAAUUUUUAUUAAUUCAGACUCUGUUGGUUGUGGUUAUUG